rnacentral:rRNA from 1 species
UACGAAGGGUGCAAACGUUGCUCGGAAUUAUUGGGCGUAAAGCGCACGUAGGCGGCAUUGCAAGUCGGAUGUGAAAUCUUAUGGCUUAACCAUAAAAGUGCAUCCGAAACUGCAGUGCUUGAGUACUUAAGAGGAUCGCGGAAUUCCCGGUGUAGAGGUGAAAUUCGUAGAUAUCGGGAAGAACACCCGUGGCUAAGGCGGCUCUCUAGUACGGUACUGACGCUGAGACGCGAAAGCGUGGGGAGCGAACAGG